CUAAGUUUCUUCUUUGUGUUCCAUAAAAUCAUACAAGUUUGAAACAACAUGAGGGUGAACGAAUUAAAAUAUUAAAAAUCAUUGACAAUAUUAGUUUUUGGAUGAACUAUACACUACUGUACUGUUUCAAAGUUUGGAGUUGGUAACGUUUUUAAAAUGUUUUUGAAACCUCACCAAGGCUGCAUUUAUUUGAUCAAAAAUAGAGGAAUAUUGUGAAAUAUUAUUACAAUUUGAAAAAAGUGUUUUCUAUUUGAAUAUAUUUAAAAAUGUAAUUUAUUUCUGUGAUGCAAACCUGAAUUCUCAGCAUCAUUACUCCAGUCUUCAGUGUCACAUGAUCCUCCAGAAAUCAUUCCAAUAUGCUGAUUUGCUGCAUUUUUUUUUUACAGUUUUAAAUGCAGCAGAAUCUGAAAGCGUUUUGUGUUGCUAAACUGAAUGGAGCUCAGGAAGGAAUGGAAGCAGAGCUGCACAGUGUGGCGUCUCAGCGGUCUGAAAUACCCAGAAGGCUUCAGGCUCGCUUUGCAUGUCAAGACAAGCAGAGGCAUAUGUGGGAAUAUCUGUAUGGGCAUCGCAAAAAGAGCAUGUGCUACGAGGUGAAGUCAGUAUAGUGUGAGCGGGAGCCCUGAGAUGGCGACGCAGGGGCUGGCGGCCUGGCUCUUGGUGCUGCUGGCCGUAUUGGCGGUGGCUCAUGCCUCCAUCUUCCAGUCCAAUCAGAGACUGAAACCUCGGUUCCAGAGAGACCGGCGCAACAUCCGCCCCAACAUCAUCCUCAUCCUCACUGAUGACCAGGACAUUGAAUUGGACUGUCUCUAUGUGGUGAAAAAGAGACAUCUUGGGCUUUGUCAGAGCGGAAGACAGAGAUUCAAUUAGGAAGGAAAGUCCCCACUCCUCUCAGCACUGGACAGUGUUGAUUUCAUAUGCACACACACAUGCGUGUGUAAACUGUAAUUAUGGAUGUGGGAGACAGAUGACUGUCUAUGUCUCAUCUCGUUUCCUCUCAAAUGCUUGUCUGGGUGAAUGCUGAUUUAUACAGUAUCCAUACUGACCUUUGUGUGUAAAGUGCACAGUAUUUUUGCAGUGUGCACGUUUGUAUGUGCUGACCUUUCUGCAUGAAUCUGUAGAGGUGUGGUGAUCCUGUCUGAAAAGGCCAAAGCGAACUAGACUUCCUGUCUCUGAUCAUAUCAAUUGAGCCAAUCAGGGUGUAGGUUGUGUGGGUUCACUUAGCUUUGUUCCCAUAAGUUAUAAAAAAAAAUAAUAAUAAUAAUGGGCUUUUUAAAACUGAAAUUGUAAAUUGCAAAAUUGGCUUUUUGCAGUCUCUUAGGCUCACCAAGACUGUAUUUAUUUGAUCAAAAAUACAGUAAAAUAGUCAUUUAUUACUGUGAUACAAAGCUGAAUUUUCAGCAUCAUUACUCUACAGUAGUCUUCAUUGUCACAUUAUUCUUCAGAAAUCAUUAUAUUAUGCUGAUUUGCUGCUCAAGAAACAUAAUAUUAUCAGUGUUAAAAACAGCUGUGCUCCUUUUUUUUUGGUGGAAACCAAAUAAUUUAAAAGAACUCUUUUCUAUUUGAAAAUAUUAGGGUUCUUUGAUAAAUAGAAUGUUCAAAAGAGCAGCAUCAUUUCAAAAUAGAAUUUCCUGUACACCUUUGAUUUAAUGCGUCCUUGCUAAAUUAAAUAAAUGAACAAAUAAAUCUUACUUACUCCAAACCUUUGAAUGGUAGUGUAAAAACAAUAGAAGUUCAUGGUUUAUCUUCAUUCACAUUUAAAUAAACGUGUGUGUGUUGUUUAUUUGAGCAUGACAAGGUUGAAUAAAUGGUGAGUAAUGUAGACUGAAGUAGAGUAGCAUUGACUGAAGUGGAGUAGAAUAGAGUUAACUAGACUAUACUGAAUUAAAGGUGAAGAGCCUUAUAAUGUAGAGUAGAAUACUUAUACUAACAGAGCAGAAUAUAGUUACAUUGACUUGAGAAAAAUUUAUUAAAGCAGAGGACUAGACUAAAAUAGUGCAGAAUAAAAACUGAGUUGAGUAGAUUAUAAUAAAGUAAAGCUGAAAUUAGUAGAAUAAUGUAGACUAGAUUGAAGUAGAAUGGCAUAUACUGAAGUAGAGUGGAAUAGAGUAGAAUAGAAUAGUGUAGAAAUUAGUAGAAUAAUGUAGACUAGAUUGAAGUUGAGUGGCAUAUACUGAAGUAGAGAGGAAUAGAGUAGAAUAGAAUAGUGUAGAGAUUAGUAGAAUAAUGUAGACUAGAUUGAAGUAGAGUAGUAUAUACUAGAUCAGAGUUGAGUAGACUAGAAUAAAGAAAAAGAAAAGAGCUUAAUGAUCAAUAGAAUAAUGUAGAAUAGAUUAAAGUAGAAUAGCUUAUUUCAGAGAUUAGAAUAGAGAAUAGCCUCAAAAUGCGUAGACCAGUGUAUAAAAAUGAAAAGUAGAUUAAAAUAAAAUAAAUUAAAAUAGCUUCUACCAAAAUAGAGCAGAAUAGAGUGACAUAGACUUGAGAAAAGUUAUUUAAUGCAGAGCAGACCAGACUAACAUAAAGUAGAAUAAAAUAGACUUGAGUAGGCUUGACUAAAAUAGAGGAGAACAGAUGAGUAGGAUAGAGUAGAACAAUGUGGAGUAGAUUAAAGUACACUAACAUAGUCUAGAGUAGAAUAAAGUAGAGCAGAAUACAUUUGAGUAGCCUACACUCAAAUAGAGUAGAAUAGAGUACCGUAGACAAAAGCAGAGUGGAAUGAAAUAGAGUCGCCUAAAGUAGAGUAGUGUAGUGAAGUUGAGUACUUUAUAUCUUUAUAGCAUAAACUUCAUUGUUGGACUAGAUUAGAGCCUAAUCAGAGUGUAGCAGCUGUGGCUCUAAGAUCACACUUUUAUAUCCUCAUAGCUUUUGAUGAUUUCCAUCUGAAAACCUCUGGAUAGACACCAAAGCGCAUGGCGCAUAACUCUUCCUUACAAUAACAACCUGACAUUAAUGUAAAAUUCAUUUAAUAGAUUGAGCUCUCAUUCAUUUGUGAGCUGUUUCAUCAGUCAGAGUUGUGUCUGUUGGGUUUUCACACACUCUCACCAGAGAUUCAGUGUGACACGGCCCCCAGGUCCACACACACACACACACACACACUCCUUUGCACACACACCCUAGAACCUGUGUGUGUGUGUGUGUGUGUGUGUGUGUGUGUGUGUGUGUGUGUGUGUGUGUGUGUGUGUGUGUGUGUGUGUGUGUGUGUGUGUGUGUGUGUGUGUGUGUGUGUGUGUGUGUGUGCAAAACUACCAUGUGCAUGUAAACAUAGCAUGUUGCCCCUGCACACACACACACCUGGCAGUGAGUCAGGCUUUUAGUGGUAACAGUGAUCCAUUAGAGCACACUUCCUCUAGGAGAGAGACCGGCUCUGACCAACAUCCUCUCUAAUGUAACAUUUCCAACACAAAUGUUCAUCCGUCUUCACGUAGCUCCCUGUCUUCUAUUUCUCUACAUGCAGGUUCUGUCUAUAUGUGUAAAUCUAUAAAUUUACACUACUUUAUUGUACUCUACAGCGUCCUACACUACUCAAUUCUACUCUUCUAGACUAUUUAACAUACCUACUGUACUCUAUGCUGCUCUUCCUUACUCUGAUCUUCUCCAUAUUCGAUUCUAUUCUGUUCUAUUCUAUUCUAUUCCACUCUAUUCUAUUCUAUUCUAUUCUAUUCUAUUCUGUUCUGUUCUGUUCUACUGUUUUGCCAUACUCUUCUCCAUUUUGUUCAUCUCUACUCAGCUAUACCAAUACACUAUUCUACUCUACUCUGUUCUACUUUGCUAAGCUCUAUUCUACAAGACUCUAC
rnacentral:lncRNA from 1 species